rnacentral:rRNA from 1 species
AGAGUUUGAUCCUGGCUCAGAACCAACGCUGGCGGCGUGCUUAACACAUGCAAGUCGAACGCGCAAUUGUAUGUAUCCAUGCGUGGAAUGGGCACGUGGCGAACGGGUGCGUCUAACCUACAUAACCUUCCUUCAAGUGGGGAAUAACCCCGAGGCUAUUGGGCUAAUACAUCACAACAUGACGAGGGCACAUGCUCUUGUCUUCAGGUCGCGGCUGAUUCACAAGAUGGAUUCGCGACCGAUCACCUUGUUGGCGAGGUAAUGGCUCACCGAGGCGAUGAUCGGUCGCCGGAUUACUGAGUUGGCCGGCCACUUGGAACUGAGGACGGGUGGGACUCCUGCGGAUGCAGGAAACCCUAAUCUUGCACCAUGGGCGAAAGGAUGAAGCCCCUUGGGGCGUGGCGCAUGAAGCUUCUCACAAUGAUGACCCCUUUGGACCAAGAAGAACGCCCGCACUCUUUUGACGGUACCGCUAUAAUACGCACCGGGUAAGCGUUUGCCGGAAUUAUCGGUAAAAAAGGGGGCGCCAGCGUUGCUCGGAGUCACUGGUGAUAUCUGGUCCGUAAGCUCUGUGCCUGGUCGCUAGUGUGCUGUGCUGGCUUAUGCCAGAGGCUGCGUGCCAAAACUGCCGUGCUAGAGUGCUGCAUAGGCGAGUGGAGGAACACCUGUAGCGAAAAAUGCGUCUAUACCAUAACUGACAUCUGAGGCGAAAAGGCUCGCUAGCAUACAACUGACGAUACACGGACUAAAGCUAGGGGAGAAAAUGGAUUAUAUACUAUGGUAGYCUACUAGCCCUAAACCAUCMKGACUGGGGGYUKKCCCUGUWCGGGGGCAAGUCCGUGUAGAAAACGAUAAAGUCCUGCGCCUGGGGAGUACGGUCGCAAGGCUAAAACUCAAAGGAAUUGACGGGCGCCCGCACGCGCGGUGGAACAUGUUGUUCAAUUACGCGCAACGCGGAGAACCUUACCUGGGCUUGAACCGCACAGGACCAUUCGAAGAAUCCGUUACUUCCCGCAAGGGGCUGGGGUAGUGGUGCAGCAUGGCUGUCGUCAGCUGUCGCCAUGAGGUGGUUGGUUUAGUCCCGCAAGGAGCGCCACCCUUACUAGUAGUCGCCAGGUGCAAGGGGGCACUCUGGGAGGACCGCUCGGGAUAACGGAGAGGAAGGUGGGGAUGAGGUCAAGUCAUCAUGGCCUUUAUGUCCAGGGCUACACACGUGUUACAAUGGGCGGCACAAAGCGUUGCAAACCCGCGAGGGGGAGCUAAUCGCAAAAAACCGCCCUCAGUUCGGAUUGCAGUCUGCAACUCGACUCCAUGAAGCCGGAAUCGCUAGUAAUGGCGCAUCAGAACGGCGCCGUGAAUACGUUCCCGGGCCUUGUACACACCGCCCGUCACAUCACGAAAGUGGGCUGUACUAGAAGUCGCCGAGCCAACCGCAAGGGGGCAGGCACCCAAGGUAUGACUCAUGAUUGGGGUGAAGUCGUAACAAGGUAACC